CAGGCAUCCGGGUGAGUCGCAGUUAUCCAUCGACCCCUUAAGAAACGGAUCACUAUAAAGAUACUUUUUCACGAAUUGCAAACGCAGCAGUUACUGAGAGUGCAGCCGUAUAUCGUCUAGUCGACGAAUGUAAUCAAAAAGGUUGCGUCGAUAAAACCUCGUCGACAACAUUAAUUAAAGGAUUUUUGGAUAAGCUAGUAGACGUGAAAGGACUCUCUCCCUCCACGUCUGACCAGAAAUUUUUAGCAGGAACGAGCAUUAAAUUGUUACCCCCGUAUAGAUAUUCAAAAUCAGCUGAUGGCUUGGAUAUUUUUUGUAUGACGAUGUAAACCGAUAUUGACUCAUACAAAAUCGGCUGAAGACAAUUCAUCGGAAUUUAAAAGGAGAACUGCCAACCGUUAAACCAAAACGUCAGUCCUCAUGUGCAAGUGACGGACCUAAGAAAAAAUACUCGAAAAAUGUCCAAGACCAUUCCCACUUUAGCGACGAUCACGUUAACCACCUCAAUUCAAUUUGCAAAAAAGAUGUCGCCAAAAUUAAAGAGUUGAUGAACGAAACUAUUGGACAUCGUAAUUAUUUAAGAAGUAUUGGAGAUAGCUCGGUGUUAAAAAUUUAUAGAAAAUUUUCUGAGUGUGAUUUCGUGGUAUGUAUGAUUUAUAAUAUUUUGUUCGAGCUAUUACUUAUUAAUAGCAAUGGGAUACAUUUACCCUAAAUUUAGUUUAAUUUCUGAUAUUUUACUAACACAGGAUAACAAUUGUUUACUCGUUAUCCAAAAACUCUAUGUAGAUUAUUUUGAUCGCUAUUAUUUUUCAUUUAAAGUUAGACAUUCUGGUACAUUAUUCACCAUAAUUAAUGUCAAAGAUUUAUAUAUACACGACUGUUUUGAAAUAAUGCAAAAUUGUAAAACCGUUGGAAAUUUUAUAAGUGUUAGACAGAAAAUUUAAAAUAUUUCCAUUACUUAUAUAUUUAUUUUAAUGAGACAUGUAUGUACAUACAUUGUUUAAUUAUGCUUAGUAGUUAGAAUGUGUUCCUGAA